rnacentral:rRNA from 1 species
GACAGAGGCCACGAACGUUGUUCGGAAUCACUGGGCAUAAAGCGCACGUAGGCGGCUGGGUCCGUCCGAUGUGAAAGCCCCCGGCUCAACCGGGGAAUUGCAUCGGAUACAGCCCGGCUUGAGGACGGUUGGGGUGAGUGGAACUCCUGGUGGAGCGGUGAAAUGCGUAGAUAUCAGGAGGAGCACCGGUGGCGAAAGCGGCUCACUGGACCGUAACUGACGCUGAGGUGCGAAAGCUAGGGGAGCAAACGGG